GACGUAGGGCGCGAGCGUUGUCCGGAUUUAUUGGGCGUAAAGAGCUCGUAGGCGGCUUGUCGCGUCGACUGUGAAAUCCCGCGGCUCAACUGCGGGUCUGCAGUCGAUACGGGCAGGCUAGAGUUCGGUAGGGGAGACUGGAAUUCCUGGUGUAGCGGUGAAAUGCGCAGAUAUCAGGAGGAACACCGGUGGCGAAGGCGGGUCUCUGGGCAACAACGUGACGCUGGAGGAGCGAAAGCGUGGGGAGCGAACAGG
rnacentral:rRNA from 1 species